UGAGUAUGCUGGACGGUCGCAUGCGGGCGCAUGAGGAAAGUCCGAGCGCCAUAGAGCGGGACGCAGGGUAACACCCUGUGGAGGCGACUCCAAGGAAAGUGCAACAGAAAUAGACCGCCGGGAGCGGCAGCGCCCACGGACGCGGCGGCUUCCGGCAAGGAUGGAAAGGCGAGGUAAGAGCUCACCCGGGGUCCGGCGACGGGCCCCCGCUGUAAACCCCGUCCGGCGCAAGAUUGAUGGGGGCAUAUGCGGCUGCUCGCCGCGCCCCGAGAAUCGCUGGAGCCUGGCGGCAACGCCCGGCCUAGAUAGAUGACCGUACAACGGCGUAUAAUAACGCCCGGGACAGAACUCGGCUUACAGGCAUGCUCGAAUC
rnacentral:RNase_P_RNA from 1 species